UACGGGGGGAGCAAGCGUUGUUCGGAUUUACUGGGCGUAAAGGGCGGGUAGGCGGCCACCGCAAGUCGACUGUGAAAUCUCCGGGCUUAACCCGGAAAGGUCAGCCGAUACUGCGGGGCUAGAGUGCAGAAGGGGCAACUGGAAUUCUCGGUGUAGCGGUGAAAUGCGUAGAUAUCGAGAGGAACACCUGCGGCGAAGGCGGGUUGCUGGGCUGACACUGACGCUGAGUGCGCGAAAGCCAGGGGAGCAAACAGG
rnacentral:rRNA from 1 species